rnacentral:hammerhead_ribozyme from 1 species
ACACUGCUGAAGAGACCAAACCAAGUCGAAACAGCUGUCCGGUGC